GGAGAAGUGGCAGAGUGGUCGAUUGCGGCGGUCUUGAAAACCGUUGAGCCCUCGCAGGCUCCGUGGGUUCGAAUCCCACCUUCUCCGCCA
rnacentral:tRNA from 1 species